GUAGCGCAAUGGUUAGCUUGUUGGGCUUUUAAUCCAAAGGUCGCGGUUUCGAAUCCCACCUCCU